rnacentral:rRNA from 1 species
AUUGGACGCUGGCGGCAGGCCUAACACAUGCAAGUCGAGCGGUAGAGAGAAGCUUGCUUCUCUUGAGAGCGGCGGACGGGUGAGUAAUGCCUAGGAAUCUGCCUAGUGGUGGGGGAUAACGUUCGGAAACGGACGCUAAUACCGCAUACGUCCUACGGGAGAAAGCGGGGGAUCUUCGGACCUCGCGCCAUUAGAUGAGCCUAGGUCGGAUUAGCUAGUUGGUGAGGUAAUGGCUCACCAAGGCGACGAUCCGUAACUGGUCUGAGAGGAUGAUCAGUCACACUGGAACUGAGACACGGUCCAGACUCCUACGGGAGGCAGCAGUGGGGAAUAUUGGACAAUGGGCGAAAGCCUGAUCCAGCCAUGCCGCGUGUGUGAAGAAGGUCUUCGGAUUGUAAAGCACUUUAAGUUGGGAGGAAGGGCAGUAACCUAAUACGUUAUUGUUUUGACGUUACCGACAGAAUAAGCACCGGCUAACUUCGUGCCAGCCGCCGCAGUAAUAC